rnacentral:lncRNA from 1 species
CACUACUUUUGGUGUCCCCCUCAGGAAUUGCUCUUGAGAAAAUGUAAUGUAAUUGUCCCCUCCAAAGUUGAUAUCAGAUUUUCGCCCCUGAUACAGAUUUGUUGGAUUCAUAUACUUUUCAACCAACUGAGGUACUCAAAGCACUUUACAUAGUAGGGGGAAACUCACCUCAUCCACCACCAAUCUGUGUCACAUACCUGGGUGAUACACGGUGACCAACGCUCACCACACAUCAGCUAUAGAGCCGAAUGUCAGAGAAGGAUGAGCACUUUGAAGUAUGGACAUUCAGCGGCAACAGGCUGCAGCCCCGCCAGGGAGGUAAGCAUUUGCUUUGGUCAAUCUUUCGACGUGAAUCAUUUUACCACAGAGAAUAUAUUGAUUUCCACAGGAAGUCGUUAAACCCCCUGAAAAUUGUCAGAGUAACUGGACACCGUGUGGCAGAACAGGGGAUUUCUGCAGCACUGUGGGCCUCUUGUGUGUGUUAAUAGUCCUCUCAAUCUUCAGAAUCUGUACAUCUUGCCAAGUUGGAAAUCUUUUAUUGAUAGCUUUUUGGGGGCGAGGGAGAGAGAGGUUGAUGCUGUGCCAGGGGUAUAAAGCGUGAGUUUGUCUGAUGCUGAGUUGAGUUCACCGCGCUCCUACUGACCCCUGACUAUCAGAAGGGAGGAGGGGUGGUAGGCUAUGGCCCUCUAGGUUGGGGUUUCUUACCCCUCUGUGUGAGUGCUCUUCUGCUUUCACCAGUUUAUUAUGGCCAGCUUAUGGUUAGUGCUUAUAGAUGAUAGCAUAAACGUAAUAAAUAUGUCCUGUAUAUUAUAUACCUUUACAUAUGGUUUAUAUGGCCUUUAUCAACAUAAAAAAAAUCUAUAUUGAACCAUUAUCAUUGAUUGACUCAUUUACUGGUACAGUACAGUAGAGUGCAUUCGGAAAGUAUUCAGACCGCUUGACUUUUUCCACAUUUUGUUACGUUACAGCCUUAUUCUAAAAUUGAUGAAAUCGUUUUGUCCCUCAUCAAUCUACACACAAUACUCCAUAGUAACAAAGCAAAAACAGUUUAUAUUUUUAUUUGAUCAAAUUUAUAUAAAAAAAAACUGAAAUAUCACAUUUACAUAAGUAUUCAGACCCUUUACUCAGUACUUUGUUGAAGCACCUUUGACUGUGAUUACAGCCUUGAGUCUUCUUGGGUAUGACGCUACAAGCUUGGCACACCUGUAUUUGGGGAGUUUCUCCCAUUCUUCUCUGCAGAUCUUGUCAAGCUCUGUUAGGUUGGACGGGGAGCUUAGCUGCACAUCUAUUUUCAGGUCUCUGCAGAGAUGUUUGAUCAGGUUCAAGUCCGGGCUCUAGCUGGGCCACUCAAGGACAUUCAGAGACUUGUCCCGAAGCCACUCCUGUUGAACCUUCGCCCCAGUCUGAGUUCCUGAGCGCUCUGGAGCAGGUUUUCAUCAAUGAUCUCUCUGUGCUUUGCUCUGUUCAUAUAUCCCUCAAUCCUGACUAGUCUCCCAGUCCCUGCCGUCCACAGCAUGAUGCUGCCACCACCAUGCUUCACCGUAGGGAUGGUGCCGGGUUUCCUCCAGAUGUGACGCUUGGCAUUCAGGCC